CUGAUUUUGACUCGAUACUGACUCCCGGUUUUGACCCUUUUCCGCUUUUGACCUACGGCUUCGGACUCUCCUCUGAUUGGUAGCUCUGCUACUGAAAAAAAGCCCGAUCCAUUCAUGGAAAUGGGAGCGAUCGGUGCUUUAUCACUGUGUGUGGAAACACCUAGAGCCGUGUUUGGUGUGCCCCUCAUUAGUCUGAGGAAGAGUGGACAGAUGAGGCAGGGUCUUCCUCUGGCGCUCACACACAUGGUGGAGUUUGUGGAGAAGCACGGUCUCAGCAAGAUCGGCCUGUUCAUAGUCGGCGGAUCAGUACAACGCUGCAGGGACCUAA